rnacentral:rRNA from 1 species
UACGUAGGUGACAAGCGUUGUCCGGAAUUACUGGGCGUAAAGCGCACGUAGGCGGGUCGUUAAGUCAGGGGUGAAAUCCCAGAGCUCAACUCUGGAACUGCCUUUGAUACUGGCGACCUUGAGUCCGGGAGAGGUGAGUGGAACUGCGAGUGUAGAGGUGAAAUUCGUAGAUAUUCGCAAGAACACCAGUGGCGAAGGCGGCUCACUGGCCCGGUACUGACGCUGAGGUGCGAAAGCGUGGGGAGCAAACAGG